rnacentral:rRNA from 1 species
GACGAACGCUGGCGGCGUGCUUAACACAUGCAAGUCGAACGGAAAGGCCCUGCUUUUGUGGGGUGCUCGAGUGGCGAACGGGUGAGUAACACGUGAGUAACCUGCCCUUGACUUUGGGAUAACUUCAGGAAACUGGGGCUAAUACCGGAUAGGAGCUCCUGCUGCAUGGUGGGGGUUGGAAAGUUUCGGCGGUUGGGGAUGGACUCGCGGCUUAUCAGCUUGUUGGUGGGGUAGUGGCUUACCAAGGCUUUGACGGGUAGCCGGCCUGAGAGGGUGACCGGCCACAUUGGGACUGAGAUACGGCCCAGACUCCUACGGGAGGCAGCAGUGGGGAAUAUUGCACAAUGGGCGGAAGCCUGAUGCAGCAACGCCGCGUGCGGGAUGACGGCCUUCGGGUUGUAAACCGCUUUCGCCUGUGACGAAGCGUGAGUGACGGUAAUGGGUAAAGAAGCACCGGCUAACUACGUGCCAGCAGCCGCGGUGAUACGUAGGGUGCGAGCGUUGUCCGGAUUUAUUGGGCGUAAAGGGCUCGUAGGUGGUUGAUCGCGUCGGAAGUGUAAUCUUGGGGCUUAACCCUGAGCGUGCUUUCGAUACGGGUUGACUUGAGGAAGGUAGGGGAGAAUGGAAUUCCUGGUGGAGCGGUGGAAUGCGCAGAUAUCAGGAGGAACACCAGUGGCGAAGGCGGUUCUCUGGGCCUUUCCUGACGCUGAGGAGCGAAAGCGUGGGGAGCGAACAGGCUUAGAUACCCUGGUAGUCCACGCUGUAAACGGUGGGUACUAGGUGUGGGGUCCAUUCCACGGGUUCCGUGCCGUAGCUAACGCUUUAAGUACCCCGCCUGGGGAGUACGGCCGCAAGGCUAAAACUCAAAGGAAUUGACGGGGCCCCGCACAAGCGGCGGAGCAUGCGGAUUAAUUCGAUGCAACGCGUAGAACCUUACCUGGGUUUGACAUGGAUCGGGAGUGCUCAGAGAUGGGUGUGCCUCUUUUGGGGUCGGUUCACAGGUGGUGCAUGGCUGUCGUCAGCUCGUGUCGUGAGAUGUUGGGUUAAGUCCCGCAACGAGCGCAACCCUUGUUCACUGUUGCCAGCACGUUAUGGUGGGGACUCAGUGGAGACCGCCGGGGUCAACUCGGAGGAAGGUGGGGAUGACGUCAAGUCAUCAUGCCCCUUAUGUCCAGGGCUUCACGCAUGCUACAAUGGCUGGUACAGAGAGUGGCGAGCCUGUGAGGGUGAGCGAAUCUCGGAAAGCCGGUCUCAGUUCGGAUUAGGGUCUGCAACUCGACCUCAUGAAGUCGGAGUCGCUAGUAAUCGCAGAUCAGCAACGCUGCGGUGAAUACGUUCCCGGG